rnacentral:rRNA from 1 species
CCCUUAGAUGUCCUGGGCUGCACGCGCGCUACACUGAUGUGUCCAGUAAGCACCUAACCUCUUCCGAAAGGAACGGGUAACCUUUGCAAAGCACAUCGUGAUGGGGAUAGAUUAUUGCAAUUAUUAGUCUUGAACGAGGAAUUCCUAGUAAGCACAAGUCAUCAGCUUGUGUUGAUUACGUCCCUGCCCUUUGUACACACCGCCCGUCGCUCCUACCGAUUGAAUGUUCCGGUGAGCUCUUCGGACUGCGCGGUCUGCAGUUUCUUCGUUCCGUGCGGAAAGUUGCGCAAACCUUAACAUUUAGAGGAAGGAGAAGUCGUAACA